GCACGGUAACGGGCAGGGCACAUGUAAACCCCAUCCGAAGCAAGACCAAACAGAAAGCGUUUAAGCUUGCCCGGCGAGCUUUCAGGUAGGUCGCUUGAGACUGUUGGUAACAGCAGUCCUAGAUAGAUGAUCAUUCACGACAUAACCCGGCUUAUCGUCCUGCUUGAUUU
rnacentral:RNase_P_RNA from 1 species